rnacentral:rRNA from 1 species
AACGUAGGGACCGAGCGUUAUCCGGAUUUACUGGGCGGAAAGAGCGUGUAGGCGGCCAAACAGGUCCGUUGUGAAAACUGGAGGCUCAACCUCCAGACGUCGACGGAAACCGUAUGGCUAGAGUCCGGAAGAGGAGAGUGGAAUUCCUGGUGUAGCGGUGAAAUGCGCAGAUAUCAGGAAGAACACCUAUGGCGAAGGCAGCUCUCUGGGACGGUACUGACGCUGAGACGCGAAAGCGUGGGGAGCGAACAGG